CUUGGACAAACGGCAGAGGUGAUAAGAAGUACUCUGAGGCAACGCUCUGCUUCUUCUUCUUCUCUGUCGAUCUCUUCUCUUCGAGGAGAAAGAGGAGGAGGAGGAUGCUGCAGGAGCAGGCAACCAGCUCCCUUCCUUCGGGUAGCGAGAGAUCCUCGAGUUCCGCCCCUCUGAUGGAAGUCAAAGAAGGUAUGGAAAGCGACGACGAGAUCAGGAGAGUGCCAGAUUUCGGGUUCCAGCCGGCCGGCCCAUCGACCUCCGGCCGGGAGGCCGCUUCGGCGGACGGUCCGGACCAGGGCCAGCCCGGCCAGCGGCGGAGAGGGAGGAGCGUCGCCGACAAGGAGCACAAACGGGUGAAGAGGUUGCUGAGGAAUCGAGUGUCAGCUCAGCAAGCACGGGAGAGAAAGAAGGCUUACCUGAAUGAUUUGGAGGCCAAGGUGAAGGAUUUGGAGGCCAGGAACUCGCAACUGGAGGAGAGGAUGUCCACGUUGCAGAAUGAGAACAACAUGCUGAGACAAGAAUCCUCGAAAGUGUUGGUCCAAAUUCUGUAAUGGAAUAUUCCGAGCACGGAUCACAUUUUGAUUUUUGAUGGGAUUCGACACUCCGAUGAUGCCAUCGGAAAUUAGAUCUUGGAUUCAGAGGGUGGGAUUUAGGAGAUCUUGAAAAAUACUACUGUUAGUAGGAGAGGAUCUGGUAUUAAUGCCAAUGGAGAAGGCAAGUAGAGUAUCGAUCCAAACGCAAGAACUCACACUGGUAAGCCUACUAUAAUUUCGCAGCAACCCUGAUGAAGGGAUCCAAAAAAAGAAGAAAGACGAUUAUGAUUGGAAAUGUUGUGGACUUUGAUUCAAGUAACUGCUUGUGUACUCCUUUUUAUCUGAAUCUGGAUGAUGUGGUUAGUGAUUGCCCUAAAA